rnacentral:rRNA from 1 species
UACAGAGGUCUCAAGCGUUGUUCGGAUUCAUUGGGCGUAAAGGGUGCGUAGGUGGCGCCGUAAGUCGGGUGUGAAAUCUCCGAGCCUAACUCGGAAACUGCGUCGGAUACUAUUCGGCUAGAGGAAUGGAGGGGAGACUGGAAUUCUCGGUGUAGCAGUGAAAUGCGUAGAUAUCGAGAGGAACACCAGUGGCGAAGGCGAGUCUCUGGACAUUUCCUGACGCUGAGGCACGAAAGCCAGGGGAGCAAACGGG